rnacentral:rRNA from 1 species
UGGGCGAAAGCCUGAUCCAGCAAUGCCGCGUGUGUGAAGAAGGCCUUCGGGUUGUAAAGCACUUUCAGUGGGGAGGAAGGGUUUAAUGUUAAUACCAUUAAACAUUGACGUUACCCAAAGAAGAAGCACCGGCUAACUCUGUGCCAGCAGCCGCGGUAAUACAGAGGGUGCGAGCGUUAAUCGGAAUUACUGGGCGUAAAGGGUGUGUAGGUGGUUAGGUAAGUUAGAUGUGAAAGCCCCGGGCUCAACCUGGGAAUUGCGUUUAAAACUGCCCAACUAGAGUACUGUAGAGGAUAGUGGAAUUUCCAGUGUAGCGGUGAAAUGCGUAGAUAUUGGAAGGAACACCAGUGGCGAAGGCGACUGUCUGGACAGAUACUGACACUGAGACACGAAAGCGUGGGGAGCAAACAGGAUUAGAUACCCUGGUAGUCCACGCUGUAAACGAUGAGAACUUGCUGUUGGACGCAUAAAGGCGUUUAGUAGCGGAGCUAACGCGUUAAGUUCUCCGCCUGGGGAGUACGGCCGCAAGGCUAAACUCAAGGAAUUGACGGGG